UACGUAGGCAGCGAGCGUUGUUCGGAAUUAUUGGGCGUAAAGAGCUCGUAGGCGGUCUGUCGCGUCGGAUGUGAAAGCCCGGGGCUUAACCCCGGGUCUGCAUUCGAUACGGGCAGACUAGAGUGUGGUAGGGGAGAUCGGAAUUCCUGGUGUAGCGGUGAAAUGCGCAGAUAUCAGGAGGAACACCGGUGGCGAAGGCGGAUCUCUGGGCCAUUACUGACGCUGAGGAGCGAAAGCGUGGGGAGCGAACAGG
rnacentral:rRNA from 1 species